ACAAGCCACAAGCUUUGUGAUGUCACAAAGGCAUCAGGUCUUUGCAUUUGCUGGAGAGCACUCCCUCCUGAUACUGGCAUGGCUCACAGUCAUCAGCUCUUUCAAGCCAUUGUUGUCCUUUUGGCAAGUCUUAAUUACAUUCAGUAGCCUGAGAUGCUUGAUGAAUACAACUUCUGAAUAUGUGGAACUACUUUACAAUUGAUUUAGAGCAGACUACUUCUAUUAUAGCAACAGAUUUGCCCUAAUUUUAUUGUCCUGUGCUGAGAGAAGAGAGAAAUCCUGGCAGGGACAAGGUACGGAAGGCCCUUUCUCUUAGCCAGUGAUCAAUUUAGAGAUGUGACUAUCACAACCAGUUUGGCCAAGGAGACACAAGAAAAUACACUGGAGGAACUUCUGGGAAGGUUUUCCCCUGCUUUCAGAAACGACACAGGAAGGAGGUAAUCCUCUUCUCUUCUGAACACUGUGACCAAAUGUGACCCUUGAACCUCUCACAGAGGAGCAGAAGAUGGAAAGGACAGAUCUGAUGACAGUACUGAGCUUCUGAAUUUGGAAUGAAAUUGGGGGCUGCCCCACACUGAGACUUGUUGAAUAUAACGAGAAUGGAGGUAGAUUUGCAGAUCCUGGCAAGAGUGAAAAAAGGCCAGAAUGGUCUGAAAACCUCAGAAAGAAGCUGGAAGUGAAUGAAGUCAACUGAUCAGAGAGAGAAGUGGCCCACAGCCCCCACUGCCUUCCCGAAGUAAAGGUCAGAAGUGGCCUGUUCCCAGAAGACUAAAUUCUUCCUGUAGACAGCGCUUCAGUGCCUGAGAGUUCCAGUGCUCCUCUUGACCACCUGUCCUGUGGCUGUCAGGCUUGUCUAGCCAGCCCCAUGACCACAUAAACCAAUUCCUUGCAA